AUGCUGGUGGUGCAGGGCGCGUCGACGGCGGAGAUGGCCCCGGAGGCGUCCAAUCCAGAUGACCGGCAGCGGCGGCGGCCUAUGAUAUCUCUGGUCAGUAGACCGCGGGCUUCGGGCCGGGGGCGCGGUGCUCGCCGGCAGGGGAGGGGCGCGCCGAUGGGGGCGCCGCUAUGGGUGGGGCGGCGCGUGGCCGCGGGAGUAGGCGGGAUCCGGCGAGGGGGAACCGGGGAAGAGGCCAUGGCGGAGAGGGAGCUCGGACGGGAUGGGAUCUGGGGAAGUUGGGGAUCGAGGGGAGGCGGUGCGUGUUCUUUUUUUUUUCUCGCGGGUUCUGGAGUUCUGGAGGACCUGCACGCGUCUAUACAGGGAUGUUGUGAUCCAAAUAGUUAUUCUGAUCCCAUGAUUAGAAUAGUGCUAUUCUUUAUAUAUAUAUAUAUAUGUGUGUGUGUGUGUGUGUGUGUGAGUGAGAAUGAACUUGAGUGUCAUUGCAUAAAUCGGUUGUCAUAA
rnacentral:rRNA from 1 species